AUCAUGUUGCUUGAACAGGAUCAGUUCUAUAGGCUUGUACCUCUAUAUCCUUGAUUUCUAAGGACACAGGAAAUCAUGUCUGGACGAUGAACUCAGGCUGCCUGGCUCAAGCUGUGAUUAACAGCACCAUGGGUUAGGGUUUCUAGCUCAUCCUGCGGUAGUUGAUCUUUCUGGGUUGACUUCGGUCUAGCUUGGGUGGCCAGGCAGUUGUCUAACAGACU